GGUCAGCUGACACAUCCCUGCCAAUCUCCGGCAGACCCUCCCUCCCAGGCCCUCCUACUUCCUGGACAGCAUCCAUGUUGAAGCUGCCUUCUACAUGGAUGCUGUCCAGGAGGUGGGAGGGUCUGGGAGGGAGGGUCUGCCGGAGAUUGGCAGGGAUGUGUCAGCUG